rnacentral:rRNA from 1 species
UUCGUCCAGGGGGCCGCCUUCGCCACCGGUAUUCCUCCAGAUCUCUACGCAUUUCACCGCUACACCUGGAAUUCUACCCCCCUCUACGAGACUCAAGCUUGCCAGUAUCAGAUGCAGUUCCCAGGUUGAGCCCGGGGAUUUCACAUCUGACUUAACAAACCGCCUGCGUGCGCUUUACGCCCAGUAAUUCCGAUUAACGCUUGCACCCUCCGUAUUACCGCGGCUGCUGGCACGGAGUUAGCCGGUGCUUCUUCUGCGGGUAACGUCAAUGAGCAAAGGUAUUAACUUUACUCCCUUCCUCCCCGCUGAAAGUACUUUACAACCCGAAGGCCUUCUUCAUACACGCGGCAUGGCUGCAUCAGGCUUGCGCCCAUUGUGCAAUAUUCCCCACUGCUGCCUCCCGUAGGAGUCUGGACCGUGUCUCAGUUCCAGUGUGGCUGGUCAUCCUCUCAGACCAGCUAGGGAUCGUCGCCUAGGUGAGCCGUUACCCCACCNACUAGCUAAUCCCAUCUGGGCACAUCCGAUGGCAAGAGGCCCGAAGGUCCCCCUCUUUGGUCUUGCGACGUUAUGCGGUAUUAGCUACCGUUUCCAGUAGUUAUCCCCCUCCAUCAGGCAGUUUCCCAGACAUUACUCACCCGUCCGCCACUCGUCAGCGAAGCAGCAAGCUGCUUCCUGUUACCGUUCGACUUGCAUGUGUUA